rnacentral:lncRNA from 1 species
CAGAUGGUGGGUGAGGGGUGAGAAAGAAGCUCCUAAGGAUGUCUCCUAAGGAUGACAUUCUAGAAAAUGGUCCUUGACAUGUUGCCAAUGGAUGCAAUUGUUCAAGUGAACCUCUUGAAAACACUCAGCGCUAGCCAGGCAACUGGAAGCAAUGCUGGAGAACAUGAGCCUGGGAUUCAGGGAGACCUGGUUUCAAGCCUGGUUCCACCCUUUACUGCCUCUGACCUUAGAAAUUUCUAACUUCUCUAAGCCUUCUCUCUGAGCUUCUGGUAGCCUUUUAACAAAUCCCAGUCCUGCUGAAGUUCACCUGGGUUUCCUCAUCUGCACACAGGAUUAAUACAAUGAUAACAAUACUUUCCUUGGAGGGUUGUCGUGGGCUCAGGCGCUUGACCUUGUGCACAGACAAAUCCUCAGUUUUUGAUGUGGCCUACUACACGAAGAACUUCAUUUUGGAUAAAAUGCCCGUAUCCUGGCUGCUUCAUCCUGCAGGCGGCAGGAUUUGGUUCCUUGUGGUUCCAGAUGGUGCCGGAUUUCCCCAUGUUGAGAAGAUAGCUCUCAGUUUGAUGUGGCAGUAUUUGCUGUGGUUAUGUCUUUCAACACACUUCCUGCUUUUCUUACAAAACAGAGACUGCUCAUCCCUCUCUUGGAGGCCACAGCCCAAAUGCUUAUAGGUUUAUUAGAGGGCCAACUUGAGCAGGCCUUGGGCACAUGUUCGGCCCCUCAGUGUGUGGCCUUUUUCUCUGCGAACAUCAGGGUUAAUCUAUUGUGGACUUUACUUUCUGUUGGAGUGAACGAUUGCAAUUCUGUGAGGGGAACAUGAGCUGCCUUGGUUGAUAUUGCUAGGUAGCACACUACACGUGUGCCUUCAUUCAGCAGCUUUAAGCACUGCCCGUAGCCUUUUAGCUACGACAGGUGAGUAACUCACUCACUUAUCCACCGUCUUCUCCCACCUCCAAAUCACUGAUAGUUUUUAUAUCUUCCAAUGGUUAACUUUAU